CAGGCAGCACUUCUCUCUCGCCUUGUUGCAAUUCUUUUUCAGGUUUCUUCUCAGAUUCUCUGUAGCUCCCCCUCUCCUUCUUGCCCUGUGCUUCAGAAUGAUACUGAACAAGUGAAUAGCCAGGAGCAGCUUCCCAGAUGGAGUGACCUGGAACCAGGCACCUGGAGCAGAAGCCAGGCCCCUUGCUGCUGAGCCCUUUCAAGCUUAGUUCAACAACCCCCCAUUGUGCCUUUGUUCCUUUUUGCCAGCCUGCUUUAUUCCAGGGACAGAAGAAAGAACCUUCGUUUUCUCCAGGGAGUGAGAAAGGUUGGGGGGAGUCAUUCUGGGGAAGUUAAACUGAGAUAGAAAUGGGGCAACUCCCAACUACUUUCUCCCCCACCGACUGCCACUGUCAGUACAUGAGUUGAACAAAAUCAAAAAGGCAUGGCAGGUGGCUCUUAACAGACCAUUUCCUGCAUCAUCUCAGGCAGUUUGGCAUCUCUCAUCCAUCCCCUAGCACGCACAAGCACACACACACACAUACACAGAGAGAGAGAGAGAGAGAGAGCGCCCUUGGUGAGUACACAGAGGACACAUGGACAAAUGCUCCUGUCCUGGUUGCCCUCUGAAGCUAAAUCCAGGAAAGUGAGAAAUAGACUUGCCAUGCUGGACAAUCUGCCCCUUGGGAAUGCCACUCUACGAAAGAUGCCAAGCAGAUUAUCCUGAAAGUAGCUUAAUCGUUAACGUGUUCAGAAGACCCAGUCUGUAUUUGAACUGAUUUGGGAAGAAAUCUGGCAGCUCCUACAACUAACUAAGACUCAUCUUCGUAUCCACGUGGACACAAAUGCAGUGCCUUUAUUGUGCCCAAUGGUUGACGAAAUGACAAACUAUGGAGAUAAAUCAUUAUUUUCUAAACUCA